UUGGUACUGAGACACGGACCAAACUCCUACGGGAGGCAGCAGUGAGGAAUAUUGGUCAAUGGACGCAAGUCUGAACCAGCCAUGCCGCGUGCAGGAUGACGGCUCUAUGAGUUGUAAACUGCUUUUGUACGAGGGUAAACUCACCUACGUGUAGGUGACUGAAAGUAUCGUACGAAUAAGGAUCGGCUAACUCCGUGCCAGCAGCCGCGGUAAUACGGAGGAUUCAAGCGUUAUCCGGAUUUAUUGGGUUUAAAGGGUGCGUAGGCGGUUAGAUAAGUUAGAGGUGAAAUCCCGGGGCUUAACUCCGAAAUUGCCUCUAAUACUGUUUGACUAGAGAGUAGUUGCGGUAGGCGGAAUGUAUGGUGUAGCGGUGAAAUGCUUAGAGAUCAUACAGAACACCGAUUGCGAA
rnacentral:rRNA from 1 species